UACGGAGGGUCCAAGCGUUAUCCGGAAUCAUUGGGUUUAAAGGGUCCGUAGGCGGGCUAUUAAGUCAGGGGUGAAAGUUUGCAGCUCAACUGUAAAAUUGCCUUUGAUACUGGUAGUCUUGAAUUGUAGUGAAGUGGUUAGAAUAUGUGGUGUAGCGGUGAAAUGCAUAGAUAUCACAUAGAAUACCGAUUGCGAAGGCAGAUCACUAACUAUAUAUUGACGCUGAGGGACGAAAGCGUGGGGAGCGAACGGG
rnacentral:rRNA from 1 species